AGGGGUAGGGGUAGGGGUAGGGGUAGGGGUAGGGGUAGGGUUAGGGUGAGGGGUUAGGGUUAGGGUUAGGGUUAGGAUUAGGGUUAGGGUUAGGGUUAGGGUUAGGGUUAGGGUUAGGGUUAGGGUUAGGGUUAGGGUUAGGGGUAGGGUUAGGGGUAGGGUUAGGGUUAGGGUUAGGGUUAGGGUUAGGGUUAGGGUUAGGGUUAGGGUUAGGGUUAGGGUUAGGGUUAGGGUUAGGGUUAGGGUUAGGGUUA